rnacentral:rRNA from 1 species
UACGGGGGGGGCAAGCGUUGUUCGGAAUUACUGGGCGUAAAGGGCUCGUAGGCGGCCAACUAAGUCAGACGUGAAAUCCCUCAGCUUAACUGGGGAACUGCGUCUGAUACUGGAUGGCUUGGAUUCGGGAGAGGGAUGCGGAAUUCCAGGUGUAGCGGUGAAAUGCGUAGAUAUCUGGAGGAACACCGGUGGCGAAGGCGGCAUCCUGGACCGACAUUGACGCUGAGGAGCGAAAGCCAGGGGAGCAAACGG